GACGAACGCUGGCGGCGUGCUUAACACAUGCAAGUCGAACGGUGAAGCGCCUUCCUUUUUGGUGGGUGUGGAUGAGUGGCGAACGGGUGAGUAACACGUGAGUAACCUGCCCCCUUCUUCUGGAUAACCGCAUGAAAGUGUGGCUAAUACGGGAUAUUCUGGGUCUGUCGCAUGAUGGGUCUGGGAAAGAUAUUGUUUCGGUGGGGGAUGGGCUCGCGGCCUAUCAGCUUGUUGGUGGGGUGAUGGCCUACCAAGGCGGUGACGGGUAGCCGGCCUGAGAGGGUGGACGGUCACACUGGGACUGAGACACGGCCAAGACUCCGACGGGAGGCAGCAGUGGGGAAUAUUGCACAAUGGGCGCAAGCCUGAUGCAGCGACGCCGCGUGAGGGAUGGAGGCCUUCGGGUUGUGAACCUCUUUCGCCAGUGAAGCAGGCCUGCCUCGUUUGUGGGUGGGUUGACGGUAGCUGGAUAAGAAGCGCCGGCUAACUACGUG
rnacentral:rRNA from 1 species